rnacentral:rRNA from 1 species
GACGAACGCUGGCGGCGUGCCUAAUACAUGCAAGUCGAACGCUCCGCAAGGGGAGUGGCAGACGGGUGAGUAACGCGUGGGAAUCUACCCAGAUCUGCGGGAUAGCCCCGGGAAACUGGAAUUAAUACCGCAUAUGUCCUGCGGGACAAAGAUUGAUCGGUUCAGGAUGAGCCCGCGUCCGAUUAGCUAGUCGGUGGGGUAAAGGCCUACCAAGGCGACGUUCGGUAGCUGGUCUAAGAGGAUGAUCAGCCACAUUGGGACUGAGACACGGCCCAAACUCCUACGGGAGGCAGCAGUGGGGAAUAUUGGACAAUGGGCGCAAGCCUGAUCCAGCCAUGCCGCGUGAGUGAUGAAGGUCUUAGGAUUGUAAAGCUCUUUCACCGGGGACGAUAAUGACGGGACCCGGAGAAAAAGCCCCGGCUAACUUCGUGCCAGCAGCCGCCGUAA